UUACGUCCAUAUCAUGUUGAGACACCGGUUCUCGUAAGAUCACCAAAGUUAAACAACGUCGAACCUGGUCAGUACGUAGAUGGAUGACAGCUUAGGAAUACCAGGUGCUGCAAG